rnacentral:rRNA from 1 species
ACGGGGUAGGAAUGGUCGGUGACGUACCCUUCGGACGGGGAUAGCCACGGGAAACUGUGGGUAAUACUCGAUAAACUCCCGGAACGUAAUGGUUUUGGGAGCAAAGGUGAGAUUCCACCGGAGGAGCGGCUGACUUAGUAUUAGCUAGUUGGUGAGGUAAAAGCUCACCAAGGCUUCGAUGCUUAGGGGGUGUGAGAGCAUGACCCCCACCACUGGGACUGAGAUACUGCCCAGACACCUACGGGUGGCUGCAGUCGAGGAUCUUCGGCAAUGGGCGCAAGCCUGACCGAGCGACGCCGCGUGUGGGAUGAAGGCCCUUGGGUUGUAAACCACUGUCGAGGGGAAUGAAAUGCGUGUGGGUACUCCCAUGCGUUUGACGGAACCCUGGAGGAAGCACGGGCUAAGUUCGUGCCAGCAGCCGCGGUAAUACGAACUGUGCGAACGUUAUUCGGAAUCACUGGGCUUAAAGGGUGCGUAGGCGGCUUGUUAAGCAGGGUGUGAAAGCCCUCGGCUCAACCGAGGAAUAGCGCUCUGAACUGGCGAGCUGGAGUGAUGCAGGGGUGCGCGGAACUUCCAGUGGAGCGGUG